rnacentral:rRNA from 1 species
CGGACGGGUGAGUAAUGUCUGGGAAACUGCCCGAUGGAGGGGGAUAACUACUGGAAACGGUAGCUAAUACCGCAUAACGUCGCAAGACCGAAGAGGGGGACCUUCGGGCCUCUUGCCAUCGGAUGUGCCCAGAUGGGAUUAGCUAGUAGGUGGGGUAACGGCUCACCUAGGCGACGAUCCCUAGCUGGUCUGAGAGGAUGAUCAGCCACACUGGGACUGAGACACGGCCCAG